GUUUUCUUCUGUAUAAUUUUGAUGGUUUCCUUUCUCACAUUUAGGUCUUUCAUUCAUUUUGAAUUUAUUUUUGUGUGUGGUGUAAGAAAGUGGUUCAAUUCAUUCCUCUACAUGUUGCUCUCCAGUAUUUUACACACCAUUUGUCGAAGAGAGCGUCUUUUUUUCCAUUGCAUAUUCUUUCCUGCUUUGUCAAAGAUGAGUUGACCAUACAGUUGUGUAUACAACUCUUUGUUUUCUCUUCUGUUCCAUUGAGCUAAGUGUAUGUUUUGUGCCACUACUUUAUUGUCUUGAUGACUACA